AUUGAACGCUGGCGGCAGGCCUAACACAUGCAAGUCGAGCGGAUGAGGGGAGCUUGCUCCUUGAAUCAGCGGCGGACGGGUGAGUAAUGCCUAGGAAUCUGCCUGGUCGUGGGGGAUAACGUUCCGCAAGGAACGCUAAUACCGCAUACGUCCUACGGGAGAAAGCCGGGGACCUUCGGGCCUUGCGCCAUCAGAUGAGCCGAGGUCGGAUUAGCUAGUUGGUGAGGUAAUGGCUCACCAAGGCGACGACCCGUAACUGGUCUGAGAGGAUGAUCAGUCACACUGGGACUGAGACACGGUCCAGACUCCUACGGGAGGCAGCAGUGGGGAAUAUUGGACAAUGGGCGAAAGCCUGAUCCAGCCAUGCCGCGUGUGUGAAGAAGGUCUUCGGAUUGUAAAGCACUUUAAGUUGGGAGGAAGAGCAGUAAGUUAAUACCUUGCUGUUUUGACGUUACCAACAGAAUAAGCACCGGCUAACUUCGUGCCAGCCGCCGCAGUAAAAC
rnacentral:rRNA from 1 species